AUUGAACGCUGGCGGCAGGCCUAACACAUGCAAGUCGAACGAGUGGCGGACGGGUGAGUAAUGUCUGGGAAACUGCCCGAUGGAGGGGGAUAACUACUGGAAACGGUAGCUAAUACCGCAUACCAUCGGAUGUUCCCAGAUGGGAUUCGCUUGUUGGUGGGGUAACGGCUCACCAAGGCGACGAUCCCUAGCUGGUCUGAGAGGAUGCCCAGCCAAACUGGAACGGAGACACGGUCCAGACUCCUACGGGAGGAAGCAGUGGGGAAUAGUGCACAAUGGGCGAAAGCCUGAUGCAGCCAUGCCGCGGGUAUGAAGAAGGCCUUCGGGUUGUAAAGUACGUUCAGCGGGGAGGCGUUACUCGCAGAAGAAGCACCGGCUAACUCCGUGCCAGCAGCCGCGGUAAUAC
rnacentral:rRNA from 1 species